CAACGUCGGGGUGAAUACGUUCCCGGGCCUUGUACACACCGCCCGUCACACCACGAAAGCGGGUAACACCCGAAGUCCGAUUCGUCGGCCUAAGGUGGGGGGCAUGAUUGGGGUU
rnacentral:rRNA from 1 species